CAGUUUGUAGUUUAAUUAAAAUAUCGGUUUUGGGGAUCGGCGUUCUCGUUUAGAGUGAACUGA
rnacentral:tRNA from 1 species